GAACUCUGGGAUAAGCGUUGGAAACGACGUCUAAUACCGGAUAGGACCUUGGAUCGCAUGAUCUGGGGUGGAAAGUUUUUCGGUUUGGGAUGGACUCGCGGCCUAUCAGCUUGUUGGUGAGGUAAUGGCUCACCAAGGCGUCGACGGGUAGCCGGCCUGAGAGGGUGACCGGCCACACUGGGACUGAGACACGGCCCAGACUCCUACGGGAGGCAGCAGUGGGGAAUAUUGCACAAUGGGCGCAAGCCUGAUGCAGCAACGCCGCGUGCGGGAUGACGGCCUUCGGGUUGUAAACCGCUUUUAGUAGGGAAGAAGGGCUUCGGCUUGACGGUACCUGCAGAAAAAGGACCGGCUAACUACGUGCCAGCAGCCGCGGUAAUACGUAGGGUCCGAGCGUUGUCCGGAAUUAUUGGGCGUAAAGAGCUCGUAGGCGGUUUGUCGCGUCUGCUGUGAAAACUAGAGGCUCAACCUCUAGCCUGCAGUGGGUACGGGCAGACUUGAGUGCGGUAGGGGAGAAUGGAAUUCCUGGUGUAGCGGUGGAAUGCGCAGAUAUCAGGAGGAACACCGAUGGCGAAGGCAGUUCUCUGGGCCGUAACUGACGCUGAGGAGCGAAAGCGUGGGGAGCGAACAGGAUUAGAUACCCUGGUAGUCCACGCCGUAAACGUUGGGCGCUAGAUGUGGGGACCUUUCCACGGUUUCCGUGUCGUAGCUAACGCAUUAAGCGCCCCGCCUGGGGAGUACGGCCGCAAGGCUAAAACUCAAAGGAAUUGACGGGGGCCCGCACAAGCGGCGGAGCAUGCGGAUUAAUUCGAUGCAACGCGAAGAACCUUACCAAGGCUUGACAUACACGAGAACGGGCCAGAAAUGGUCAACUCUUUGGACACUCGUGAACAGGUGGUGCAUGGUUGUCGUCAGCUCGUGUCGUGAGAUGUUGGGUUAAGUCCCGCAACGAGCGCAACCCUCGUCGCAUGUUGCCAGCACGUUAUGGUGGGAACUCAUGUGAGACUGCCGGGGUCAACUCGGAGGAAGGUGGGGAUGACGUCAAAUCAUCAUGCCCCUUAUGUCUUGGGCUUCACGCAUGCUACAAUGGCCGGUACAAAGGGCUGCGAUGUCGUAAGGCGGAGCGAAUCCCAAAAAGCCGGUCUCAGUUCGGAUUGAGGUCUGCAACU
rnacentral:rRNA from 1 species